rnacentral:lncRNA from 1 species
AGAAAAAAAAGUUGAGUUUCUUAAAGCCUUCAUCAAAUGGUGAGUCAGCAAUCUCCUGACCUGACCAGUGGUAUCCUAUGCCGAAUACAGAAUUGGAGUUAUAGUGGCCUGAACGACUGUAGAAGGGUUUGCCUUAUCAGUCAAGGGUUUGACUUCAGCAUUUCAGCAUGGGAAGAUAAAUCCAACAGGGAUUUUCUCAGAAGUAUUUCCAGGAAUGACAAUAUGGUUACCUGGUCUUUAUUGAAGAUAAGUCAGUGCUGCUGCACAGAAGCUGAUUCAUUUUCUCAUCAAUAG